UACGGAGGGUGCAAGCAUUAAUCGGAUUUAUUGGGCGUAAAGGGCGCGUAGGCGGGAGAGAAAGUUAGAUGUGAAAGCUCGAGGCUCAACCUCGAAGACGCAUUUAAAACUACUUUUCUAGAGGAUGGAUGGAGAAAAUGGAAUUCCACGUGUAGCGGUGAAAUGCGUAGAUAUGUGGAAGAACACCGGUGGCGAAGGCGAUUUUCUAAUUUAUUCCUGACGCUGAGGCGCGAAAGCAAGGGGAGCAAACAGG
rnacentral:rRNA from 1 species